UUACACUUCUAGGCCCCUUUCCCCCCCGCCUGUUUUUUCAAAAACAUGUCUUGAUGAUUUUUAUUUAUUAAGUCUAUCCUGCUCAAUGAUUUAUUAUUAAAUAGCCGCAGUAUCUUGACUGUGCGAAGGUAGCAUAAUCAUUUGUCUUUUAAUUAAAGGCUUGUAUGAAUGGUUGGAUGAGGGAAUUACUUUCUUUAUAUUAAAAAUUGAAUUUAAUUUUUAAGUUAAAAAGCUUAAAUUUUUAAGUGGGACGAGAACACCCUAUAGAAUUUUAUUAUAAGUUUUAUAUUUAAUUUAUGGUUAUUUUUAUUAUUUAUAUGUCUUAUAAUUUUAUUGGGGUGAUAUUGAGAUUAAAAAAACUCUCAUAACUUAAUAUUUAAUUAUUUUUAUUUUGUUAGGAUCCUAUUUUAUGGAUAUUUAGAUUAAAUUACCUUAGGGAUAACAGCGUAAUUUUUCUGGAGAGUUCUUAUCGAUGGAAAAGUUUGCGACCUCGAUGUUGGAUUAAAACUAGAUUUAAGUGCAGACAGCUUAAAGUUCUAGGUCUGUUCGACCUUUAAAUUUUUACAUGAUCUGAGUUUCAACCGGGAUAAAAUAUUUAAUUAAAGUCUAU
rnacentral:rRNA from 1 species